rnacentral:rRNA from 1 species
GAUGAACGCUGGCGGCGUGCCUAAUACAUGCAAGUCGAGCGAACAGAUAAGGAGCUUGCUCCUUUGACGUUAGCGGCGGACGGGUGAGUAACACGUGGAUAACCUACCUAUAAGACGGGGAUAACUUCGGGAAACCGGAGCUAAUACCGGAUAACAUAUUGAACCGCAUGGUUCAAUAGUGAAAGGCGGCUUUGCUGUCACUUAUAGAUGGAUCCGCGCCGUAUUAGCUAGUUGGUAAGGUAACGGCUUACCAAGGCAACGAUCCGUAGCCGACCUGAGAGGGUGAUCAGCCACACUGGAACUGAGACACGGUCCAGACUCCUACGGGAGGCAGCAGUAGGGAAUCUUCCGCAAUGGGCGCAAGCCUGACGGAGCAACGCCGCGUGAGUGAUGAAGGUCUUCGGAUCGUAAAACUCUGUUAUCAGGGAAGAACAAAUGUGUAAGUAACUGUGCACAUCUUGACGGUACCUGAUCAGAAAGCCACGGCUAACUACGUG